CUACGGCAGAGUGCUGGGAGCAGCUUAGUCAGGCCGUUGGAGACACGGUUGUCGGAGUCCGGCUCAGCGGGGGGGCAAAAACACGUGAUUUGACACCCAACAAACCCGGACCCGCGCCCUACACAGACCACAGCUCCCCUAGAGCUCCCACCAGGACUGCCGAACUACCCCCGCUGGAGCCGGCCGAUUUUCGUCGGUUCCGAAUCCUCCCGACCCUUUCCGACGUUGCCUUUUGGCCAGAAAAAGUCAGAGAAAGCAGAAAAAGUUUGGCCAGUGGGACGUGAUUGCGGUGGUGGAAGUUUAACCAAUGCGAGUCGGCCGAAGACACCAGAGACACAACAUGGACGAGUGGAACCCGGGCGGGUCACGUGACCGCGAGAGAUUCCGGUCGCGUUUCCCCCCUUGCCUUGUCUGUGGUUACUCGUUGAUGGCUCAUGCCCCUCGUUGCCACCGCCUCCGCACCUUCCAUGUGCUUCUACAGCGUCAACUGGAGUGCAUAGUUUCCCACCUGCCUCGGCAUAUUAGUUGGAGCUUAUUUGGGGUAGUGGUCGCGGCACGAUAUCAGAUGUCGCUCAUGGUGGGUGUUGCGGUGGAUAUACUGGCAAAAGGAGGGGGUCUAUGGAAUCCUCACGCUGGGCGUAUCCGAUUUACCGUCUCCAAGCUCACAAAACCGCUCAUUUCUGGCCAAAACAUCCCCUCCACCUAACCUUCACGUUCAGAGAUUAUGACACCAUGAUCUGCAACCCGAUAUCGGGGUCCUACAAGUGCAAAUCUGGAGUAGAGUCUGCCGUUAGUGUUUGGGGAGCAUCUGGUGAGCGAUUAUUGGUUUUGUUGGUCUUCAGAUGUCUUGGUCGCUUGGUUUCUUGGUCAUGGCUGUUGGCCUGGAUCGCUUCCCUCCCUGAACUUGAUACUUUUUAAACCGCACUAAACCGUUGUUCGUUUUCACAGUCGAAUCCGGGGUUCGGUUGAACCUUGCGUGGGUCCAAAAGGAGAACAAAAUGACCGCGCACACCACGCACACCGGCCCAAGAUCGUAUCCAAACAUAGCCGAUGUAUGCGUCUCCAUUUAUCCGAUGGGGGUGCUGGGAACAAAGUAGGUGUUUCAACAGGCAUUUUUGCCGCCGCUGAACUCGCUCAAGGGGGUCGCCUAUUUCUUUUUAUUCUAGGAACGCCAGUGAAAACACCUGGUUGACAAUGCCGCCGGCCAAUAAUCCCCGGUUAUCAACUGCGGACCCCAUUCUCAGCCCCUCCUACAUUCACGUCAUUCCGCAUGAGUCACGCUACGGAACAAGACAUCCGGGGGAAAAUGUGGAGACCCCAGAUUUGCCAGCGUGCCAGCGACCGCGAUGAACGGAGCAGAUAGUCACGUGCCCGAGGUCGCUGGGUAGAGGUCGCUGGGCGGAGGUCGCUGGGCAGCUGUGUUAUUAUGCUUACUGAUGGAGCUCCAGCACUGCUAUUCACAUGUUCGGCACCUGUUCGGGUCUGCUCGGUUGUUCUGGUUAAAAGACACAAAGAAACAUUGGUAAUAUCGAGCAUUAAAAAUCGGUUAGACUGUUGACAGAGGUCGGUACGAGAGAUGAGACGUGCCACACAGUCUGGCCUUGUGUGCCGAAUAGUCUCCGACGACGUUAAUCUCGCUUGUGCCAGUUAGUCCGUGGUCAAGACGAACAAGGCAUCUUGUCAGUGGUCGGCGUUUUCACGGACCCUGCCAUUGUGGCAGGAAUGUCUGGUGGAAUCCCUUGCAUUACGAGUACAUAGGGCGACGAUACAAGUAUGUCCAUCUCGAGGAGUAACUGCCAGUGAAUGGAGCGGUUCUUACAAGUCUACAUACUGCUCGUGCAAUUCGGACUGCGAUUCGGACCUGCAAUCCGGACUUCAAUUCGGAUUUGCAAUCCGGACUUCAAUUCGGACUUGUGCUUGUCAGGCUUGGGGAGCUGUCAGCCGAGACUCUGCCCUGGAGCGUCAAAGAUCCAUAAGGGGUCUUGUACGAGUCUUGUAUGAGUCUUGUACGAGUCUUGUACGAGUACAUACUGUACUGUACAUGCAUUGAUAUUCACUGGACGAUCUACAAGUAGAUGUGUCUCGAGCAUGGAACGAGGACAGUAUGGUUGUAUUAGUAUGUACAUACUCGUUCUCAGUGCCUUACAUCCACCGAUAUUUGGUACUGGCAAGAGAGACUCGUAGAUCCACAUCAAAUGGAAUGAUUCUGGAGACAUGGUUGGCCAAAUCAUUAACUGGUCGCCAGUCACGUUUUCGAAACUGCCUACUUGUACAAAGACUCGUCAUAAUUUGUCAGCUACUCCACUCAGAUAUAUCCACCCGUUUCUGAAGAUGCAAUAUCGUCUCCAAUUUCGGAACCCUAUUUUCGAGACUAAUAAAAAUAGCCGAG
rnacentral:misc_RNA from 1 species